AUACGGAGGGUGCAAGCGUUACUCGGAAUCACGGGGCGUAAAGCGCGCGCAGGCGGGCUGAUAAGUUGGAUGUGAAAGCCUACGGCUCAACCGUAGAACUGCAUCCAAAACUGUCAGUCUAGAGUGUGGGAGAGGAAGAUGGAAUUAGUUGUGUAGGGGUAAAAUCCGUAGAGAUAACUAGGAAUAUCAAAAGCGAAGGCAAUCUUCUGGAACACUACUGACGCUGAGGCGCGAAGGCGUGGGGAGCAAACAGGAUUAGAUACCCUAGUAGUCC
rnacentral:rRNA from 1 species